GACGAACGCUGGCGGCGUGCUUAACACAUGCAUGUCGAACGGAAAGGCCCUGCUUUUGUGGGGUGCUCGAGUGGCGAACGGGUGAGUAACACGUGAGUAACCUGCCCUUGACUUUGGGAUAACUUCAGGAAACUGGGGCUAAUACCGGAUAGGAGCUCCUGCUGCAUGGUGGGGGUUGGAAAGUUUCGGCGGUUGGGGAUGGACUCGCGGCUUAUCAGCUUGUUGGUGGGGUAGUGGCUUGCCAAGGCUUUGACGGGUAGCCGGCCUGAGAGGGUGACCGGCCACAUUGGGACUGAGAUACGGCCCAGACUCCUACGGGAGGCAGCAGUGGGGAAUAUUGCACAAUGGGCGGAAGCCUGAUGCAGCAACGCCGCGUGCGGGAUGACGGCCUUCGGGUUGUAAACCGCUUUCGCCUGUGACGAAGCGUGAGUGACGGUAAUGGGUAAAGAAGCACCGGCUAACUACGUG
rnacentral:rRNA from 1 species